rnacentral:rRNA from 1 species
ACAGCAGCCGCCGCGGUAAUACGAAGGGUGCAAGCGUUAAUCGGAAUUACUGGGCGUAAAGCGUGCGUAGGCGGUGAGUUAAGUCUGCUGUGAAAUCCCCGGGCUCAACCUGGGAAUGGCAGUGGAUACUGGCUCGCUAGAGUGUGUCAGAGGAUGGUGGAAUUCCCGGUGUAGCGGUGAAAUGCGUAGAGAUCGGGAGGAACAUCAGUGGCGAAGGCGGCCAUCUGGGACAACACUGACGCUGAGGCACGAAAGCGUGGGGAGCAAACAGGAUUAGAUACCCCCGUAGUCCCUGUCUCUUAUAC